rnacentral:rRNA from 1 species
UCAGGUCUCCAAGGUGAACAGCCUCUGGCCAAUGGAACAAUGUAGGCAAGGGAAGUCGGCAAAACGGAUCCGUAACUUCGGGAAAAGGAUUGGCUCUGAGGACUGGGCUCGGGGGUCCCGGCCCCGAACCCGUCGGCUGUCGGCGGAUUGCUCGAGCUGCUCACGCGGCGAGAGCGGGUCGCCGCGUGCCGGCCGGGGGACGGACCGGGAAUCGCCCCUUCGGGGGCUUUCCCCAAGCAU